rnacentral:rRNA from 1 species
AUGGAGGCCGACGCGGAGCUGGAAGAGGUGAGGCCGGCUAUCACCCAGCGGGCUUCAACGAUCGCCGAGUGCACCGACAUCAGCGUUUUUGCACCCGAGAUCGAUGAUGACGGUGUUGCCCAGCCGGAGGAGUGGUUCGGGCUGAACCCGGCGGUGGACAAGGACUCGGCGGAGGAGAUCGCCUCCAGCGACGAGGGCGAGGAUGACGGGCAGGAGGACGACGAAGACGUCGAGCCGGCUGGUGGAACAACCGGCCGACCUCAGGCCGACCGUGCCUCCCGCAACGAGGUGCGUGGAAGCGCGCCUUCUGCGGGAGGCGGUGACCAAGCCGAGGUUCGCCAGCCGGCCGCUCCUUCAGCCGGCACAACCGUCUCCGCCAACCAGCCCGGCUCCUCGGUCGCUCCGCCGGCUUGA